CUAAAAUAAUGCCAAUAUUCUCACUGAUUUUGGGGGACUGAUGUUGGAAGAUGACUCAUGGAAUUAAGAGGAUCAGAUGGUUCAAAGAAUCUUGCCCUAUCAAAGUUGUUUACAGCCUAAAAAUAUUUGAUAAAUGAAGGUAUGUUCAAAGCCUUCUCAUUCUCCAAAGCAGUGCUGCUGAGAAUAUGCAUCUUUUAGAAGGCAGUAGAUCCCAAAGACCAACAUAGGAUGUUUUACCUAGAAGACAAAUUGUACAUUGGGCUUUAAGGACUCAUGAAACCAUUGCCUGUUUCAGACGCUGACCGGAAAGGAGAUUGAGAUUGACAUUGAACCUACAGACAAGGUGGAGCGAAUCAAGGAGCGUGUGGAGGAGAAAGAGGGAAUCCCCCCACAACAGCAGAGGCUCAUCUACAGUGGCAAGCAGAUGAAUGAUGAGAAGACAGCAGCUGAUUACAAGAUUUUAGGUGGUUCAGUCCUUCACCUGGUGUUGGCUCUGAGAGGAGGAGGUGGUCUUAGGCAGUGAUGGACCCUCCAUUUUACCUCUUUACCCUGUCGCUCAUAAUGAGGCAUCAUAUAUCCUCUCACUCUCUGGGACACCAUAGCCACUGCCCCCUCCCCUGGAUGCCCAGUAAUGUAUGUCUACUGGUGGGAGAC
rnacentral:lncRNA from 1 species